rnacentral:rRNA from 1 species
CUACGGGUGGCUGCAGUGGGGAAUAUUGCACAAUGGGCGAAAGCCUGAUGCAGCAACGCCGCGUGGAGGAUGACACAUUUCGGUGCGUAAACUCCUUUUAUAUAGGAAGAUGAUGACGGUACUAUAUGAAUAAGCACCGGCUAACUCCGUGCCAGCAGCCGCGGUAAUACGGGAGGGUGCAAGCGUUACUCGGAAUUACUGGGCGUAAAGAGCGUGUAGGCGGAUAGAUAAGUUGGAAGUGAAAUCCUAUGGCUCAACCAUAGAACUGCUUCCAAAACUGUCUAUCUAGAAUGUGGGAGAGGUAGAUGGAAUUUCUGGUGUAGGGGUAAAAUCCGUAGAGAUCAGAAGGAAUACCGAUUGCGAAGGCGACCUACUGGAACAUAAUUGACGCUGAGACGCGAAAGCGUGGGGAGCAAACACGAUUAGAUACCCUGGUAGUC